UUUCAAGGUAAGCUAAAUUUUUAAAGCUACUGGGCUCAUAACCCAGACAUGGUUGACUCCCCUUGAAAAC
rnacentral:tRNA from 1 species